ACGACAACAAAAAGACAAAUGGAGAAUGCGGGUAUCGAUCCCGCUACCUCUCGCAUGCAAAGCAAGCGCUCUACCAUUUGAGCUAAUUCCCCUGGCCUUAUUAAGAAACAUUGUCAGUGAAAAAUAGCGUUAAAUAUCAUCAUCCACCAGAAAGCCAAAUGGAGAAUGCGGGCAUCGAUCCCGCUACCUCUCGGAUGCAAAGCAAGCGCUCUACCAUUUGAGCUAAUU